UCCCAUAUGGUAUAGUGGCUAGGAUAACAGGCUUUCACCAAGGAGGCUCGGGUUCGAUUCCCGGUAUGGGAA
rfam:Daphnia pulex DAPPTscaffold_261_Cont7975, whole genome shotgun sequence.